UAGGGAAUAUUGCUUAAUGGGCGAAAGCCUGAAGCAGCAACGCCGCGUGUGCGAUGAAGGCCUUCGGGUUGUAAAGCACUUUUUGAGGGGAUGAGGAAGGACAGUACCCUCAGAAUAAGUCUCGGCUAACUACGUGCCAGCAGCCGCGGUAAAACGUAGGAGGCGAGCGUUAUCCGGAUUUACUGGGCGUAAAGCGCGUGCAGGCGGCUCGAAAAGUUGGAUGUGAAAGCUCCUGGCUUAACUGGGAGAGGUCGUUCAAUACUUUCGGGCUUGAGGAUGGGAGAGGGAGGUGGAAUUCCGGGUGUAGUGGUGAAAUGCGUAGAUAUCCGGAGGAACACCAGUGGCGAAGGCGGCCUCCUGGCCCAUUUCUGACGCUCAGACGCGAAAGCUAGGGUAGCAAACGGGAUUAGAGACCCCGGUAGUCCUAGCUGUAAAACGAUGUAGACUUGGCGUUGGUGGGUUCAAAUCCAUCAGUGCCGGAGCUAACGCGUUAAGUCUACCGCCUGGGGACUACGGCCGCAAGGUUAAAACUUAAAGGAA
rnacentral:rRNA from 1 species